AAAAACAGAAAAACUAUGCUCCAAGAUAAUCUAUUUCAGAAUUAACAAUAGAUACACGAUAAGAGCCUAUCUACAUGACUGUAGAUACCAAUAAUCCUAACAUUUUCUGCAAGGUCCGUGAUUUUUGUUUCUCUCUAACUCUUCUUCUUCAAAUCAUAAUAAACAAUCCAGCUUCCGUUGAACAUCGAGUUAGAGAUGAACACAAUCUCACCAUCAGGAGUACUACCAGAAAUGCAACCAAUGAAAUUCUUCAUCAAGCUAGAACAAAGUGUCUCAGAAAACGUGAUGGUGUGCUUCACCCAUUCUUCAUUUUCACAACUCUGUAAAAUCCUCAAAUAGAUCUCAUUCACAUUCCAUCUCGACUGACUGAUGACAGCUAAUUUUCCUUUAACUUGCAUCAAGUUACAAAAUAUUCCUCCAAGAACAUCUAUUACGUCGGCCCACAAUGAGAUAAUUCUAAAAUUCUCCGUCCUAACAUUAAAUGUCACUAUGCAUCUUUUAUCUUCAUGAAUACCUAGAAAAUAGAUAAAUCCUUCCAUGCAAAGUCCUCUGCUCAGUAACAGUAAUGACGAACAAGGUUCACUUUUAAUCUCUCUCCAUGAUUCAUUUGAGCCGAGAGUUAAAACCCAAUGUUUUGUGAGUGAGUUCGGAUCUAGGGGAUGACUACUCAUCAAUAUUUUAUACUUCUUUCCAUCCAACUCAAAACCAAAUGAAUAGGAAUAACAGGUAAAUCUAUGAUCAAUGGAAUCGAGGCAAGGAAGAUAUCUUACUAUUCUUGUAGUCGGAUUAUAAAUAACAGGGGGAUGCUCCAUUGCACUCCAUAGGGUGUCUGCCAAAUCGCGCCGGGUACAUUAUGGAGUAUUAAUUGAGUUGAACAUAUAUAACUUGUUUAUCCAAAAAAAGGAAAAAUGUAUGUACUCAUUUUUCUCGGUAAUCAGGAAUUGAAAAUCCAGUUAUUUCAGUCUCUGUUUACGUUGGUGGAAAAAGUAAAAAGAAGCUAAGUCUCUAAUAUUACGAUUAGAGUUCCAUUUUGCUAAAAGAAAACAAGAGACGAUGAUGUCUUCCAUGAGAAUUAAUACCUUAAAAAACAGAAAAACUAUGCUCCAAGAUAAUCUAUUUCAGAAUUAACAAUAGAUACACGAUAAGAGCCUAUCUACAUGACUGUAGAUACCAAUAAUCCUAACAUUUUCUGCAAGGUCCGUGAUUUUUGUUUCUCUCUAACUCUUCUUCUUCAAAUCAUAAUAAACAAUCCAGCUUCCGUUGAACAUCGAGUUAGAGAUGAACACAAUCUCACCAUCAGGAGUACUACCAGAA
rnacentral:lncRNA from 1 species